GGUUGGAUGGCCGAGCGGUCUAAGGCGCCAGACUAAGGAUCAGCUUCAUUUGCAGCCUUAUUUCCCUUGUGGAAUCUGGUCCUCCGGGGCGUGGGUUCGAAUCCCACUCCAAUCA